rnacentral:rRNA from 1 species
AUUGAACGCUGGCGGCAGGCCUAACACAUGCAAGUCGAACGGUAACAGGAAACAGCUUGCUGUUUCGCUGACGAGUGGCGGACGGGUGAGUAAUGUCUGGGAAACUGCCUGAUGGAGGGGGAUAACUACUGGAAACGGUAGCUAAUACCGCAUAACGUCGCAAGACCAAAGAGGGGGACCUUCGGGCCUCUUGCCAUCGGAUGUGCCCAGAUGGGAUUAGCUAGUAGGUGGGGUAACGGCUCACCUAGGCGACGAUCCCUAGCUGGUCUGAGAGGAGGACCAGCCACACUGGAACUGAGACACGGUCCAGACUCCUACGGGAGGCAGCAGUGGGGAAUAUUGCACAAUGGGCGCAAGCCUGAUGCAGCCAUGCCGCGUGUAUGAAGAAGGCCUUCGGGUUGUAAAGUACUUUCAGCGGGGAGGAAGGGAGUAAAGUUAAUACCUUUACUCAUUGACGUUACCCGCAGAAGAAGCACCGGCUAACUCCGU